UCCAAAUCACCACUUUAUUAUGUGGCAGUCACCAUGGUGCCAGCCUCUGCCUUCCCCAUGUCACCCUCCUAAUCCAGGGCUCUAACCAUAUUCAUGUUUGAGUUUUCACAAGUCAGUGUCCAUUAAGGCCUUGUGCUCCCCUUUUCUUCAAUACAGGGCAGGGCCUAUAUAAUUUGGGUAUCAAGAAUUGAUAGUUGUCUCUUAACUGGUCCUGGUGAGGCACACUCACAGCAGUGAGUGGGGGGUCCUGGGAGGGCACAGAUGAUGGAGGCUACCCCUACAGGAGCUGGAUGUAGGAGCAGAGACAUUUCUUGAUCUUUCACUCUGCAAACUGGUCCAAGAACUUGAGAGGGGAUGACUUUGUCAGUGUCCCCAAAAACAUGGAGCGAAGGCAAUGACAAGGGCUUUUGCAGGAUGGAU
rnacentral:antisense_RNA from 1 species